UGGCGGACGGGUGAGUAAUGUCUGGGAAACUGCCUGAUGGAGGGGGGUAACUACUGGAAACGGUAGCUAAUACCGCAUAACGUCGCAAGACCAAAGAGGGGGACCUUCGGGCCUCUUGCCAUCGGAUGUGCCCAGAUGGGAUUAGCUAGUAGGUGGGGUAAAGGCUCACCUAGGCGACGAUCCCUAGCUGGUCUGAGAGGAUGACCAGCCACACUGGAACUGAGACACGGUCCAA
rnacentral:rRNA from 1 species